AUACGGAGGGGGCUAGCGUUGUUCGGAAUUACUGGGCGUAAAGCGCGCGUAGGCGGCCAAGUAAGUUGGAGGUGAAAUCCCGGAGCUCAACUCCGGAACUGCCUUCAAAACUGCUUGGCUAGAGGCAGGGAGAGGAGAGCGGAAUACCCAGUGUAGAGGUGAAAUUCGUAGAUAUUGGGUGGAACACCGGUGGCGAAGGCGGCUCUCUGGCCCUGAUCUGACGCUAAGGCGCGAAAGCGUGGGGAGCAAACAGGAUUAGAAACCCCAGUAGUCC
rnacentral:rRNA from 1 species